ACAAGCAGCGGAGCGUGUGGUUUAAUUCGAUGUUACACGAAGAACUUACAGGGUUGACAUGCGAAGUGGUAGGAACCGAAAGGUGACCGACCCUUCGGGGAGCUUGCACAGGUGCUGCAUGGCUGUCGUCAGCUCGUGUCGUGAGAUGUUCGGUUAAGUCCGCUAACGAGCGCAACCCUCGCUGUGUGUUAUAUGUGUCACACGGGACUGCCGGUCUUAAGCCGGAGGAAGGUGGGAUGAUGUCAAGUCAGCAUGGCCUUUAUAUCCUGGGCUACACACACGCUACAAUGGCCAACACAAUAGGUUGCUAAGCCGCGAGGUGGCGCCAAUCCAUAAAGUUGGUCUCAGUUCAGAUUGUAGGCUGCAACCCGCCUGCAUGAAGAUGGAGUUGCUAGUAACCGCAGGUCAGCUAUACUGCGGUGAAUACGUUCCCGGGUCUU
rnacentral:rRNA from 1 species